GCCUAUUUCUGCACACUUCCAUAUUUCAUAAUUCCAUAUAUAGGCUUUCCUCCUCUCUGUUUUGGCAGUCAUUUAUCAGCACAGCCUAUAAAAAAUCCUCUCUCAUAAAUGUUUACUUAUCUCAUAUUAGGAUAUUCCUCAGAAUUUGAGCCCAAAACGAAAUUGAAUCUAAAGAUUUUAGGCACAUGCUGCUUCUACAAAGAUUCUCUUUCUUCCUUAAAUUUACAAGACCAUGCAAGAAUCCAUGAAUCUGCUAAUGUCAUCAACCGCUUGCCUGAGUCACCUACCACCGAUUUCCUUUUCAAUUGGGGCAAUCAAAAGGGGUUAAAACACUAGGCUCAUAGCACUCAACACUCUGGCAUCAUCAUAUGUAUGGCCACGUGUCAUGCUCCUAUUGACUACAUAGAAAGUGGACUUGGCCGUUUCCUCUUUCAGCUACAGUCCCAACAAAAUAGCAACCGGUGGUUUCUGUUUCGUUCUAUUAUUGCUAGAAAGGAAAAAGAGCAACCAAAAACGUGGUCUCUGUGCUUUCCAGGUUCUUAGGAUGGGUUGUUCUUCUCCAGUUCUCUCCUCUCCUCACUUUUCUUUCUUAUUUUCAAGAUUAAGUUCUUGAAUUCUACUGUUUUUAAAAAGAUUUGUCUUCCUUCUU
rnacentral:misc_RNA from 1 species